rnacentral:rRNA from 1 species
GCUAGUAAUCGCGGAUCAGCAUGCCGCGGUGAAUACGUUCCCGGGGAUUGUACACACCGCCCGUCACACCAUGAGAGUCGGGAACACCCAAAGUCCGUAGUCUAACCGCAAGGAGGACGCGGCCUAAGGUGGGUUCGAUAAUUGGGGUGAAGUCGUAACAAGGUAGC